rnacentral:tRNA from 1 species
GGCGCUGUAGCUCAGCCUGGUAGACCUUUUGGCCAGUUAGCAAUGGUCUCAUGAGCCAUGGGCCGGGAGUUCAAAUCUCCUCAGCGCCA